AUUGAACGCUGGCGGCAUGCCUUACACAUGCAAGUCGAACGGUAACGCGCUUUCGGGUGCCGCCGAGUGGCGGCCGGGUGCGUAAUACAUCGGAAUGUGCCCGAUCGUGGGGGUUAAUGAGGCGUAAGCUUUGCUAAUAUCGCCUACGACCUACGGCUGCAUGCAGGGGAAAGCAGGGCCUCGUCCGGCCGGGCCGGCUGAUGGCAGAUUAGGUAGUUGGUGGGAUAAAGGCUUACCAAGCCGACGAUCUGUAGCUGGUCUGAGAGGAUGAUCAGCCACACUGGGACUGAGACACGGCCCAGACUCCUACGGGAGGCAGCAGUGGGGAAUUUUGGACAAUGGGCGCAAGCCUGAUCCAGCCAUGCCGCGUGCAGGAUGAAGGCCUUCGGGUUGUAAACUGCUUUUGUACGGAACGAAAAGCCGUCUUUUAAUACAGGGGGGUCAUGACGGUACCGAAAGAAUAAGCACCGGCUAACUACGUG
rnacentral:rRNA from 1 species